CCCAACCCCCAAAAGAAAACCACUAAUCUUGGAUCAAAAAAAGAUUGUUUCAAUUGGAAGAAUGAAGAAAACUGCUCACCACUUGCGCCAUCUCCUCCGAUUUGCCAUCUUGGAGUAAACUUCUUCGAAGUAAAAAUACGGCCCGUCUCCUCCAUUAUCAUCGACUGCUCGUCUAAGAAUUUCCUUCUCAUCAAGCAAUCAGCUCACAUCAAGAAGUGAAGGUGAAAAGGGCAGAAGUUUCUCAACAUUCCAAGGAGGCACAAGUUGCUUGAAUUUAUUUGCAGUCGAUGCUCAACAAUCCCAGGAGGUAGUAGUUGUUCGUGCAAAUAUUAGUUCACCAUUUUUACUUCGUAAUUGUUGUUUGUGAGGAUAAAUACCAUUUCAAGUAUGUCUUUUUUCUUCUGUUUCACUAUCCGUUCAAGAAUGUUAAAUGCUUGCAUUAAUAUUAGGUGUAGUUGAUAGGUUCUUUUCAUUAGCUAUCCAAAGUGAAAGACACUAAUAUGAAUCCUUAUCCAUGGGUUAACUGAAGUCUUUUUUCUGUAAUUUCUCCUAUUUAAUGAUAUUCAUGAAGUGAUAUUAUGUCCAA